AGCAGCCGCGGUAAUUCCAGCUCCAAUAGCGUAUAUUAAAGUUGUUGCAGUUAAAAAGCUCGUAGUUGAAUUUCGGGAUUUGCACAUCGGUCGUGCCUUAAGGGGUAUGAACUGGUGUAGUGAAUUUCUCACCUUCUGGAGAACCGUGAUGUCCUUAAUUGGGUGCCACGAGGAACCAGGACCUUUACUUUGAAAAAAUUAGAGUGUUUAAAGCAGGCAUUUUUGCUUGAAUACAUUAGCAUGGAAUAAUAAAAUAGGACGGCAUGAUUCUAUUUUGUUGGUUUCUAGGAUCACCGUAAUGAUUAAUAGGGAUAGUUGGGGGCAUUAGUAUUCAAUUGUCAGAGGUGAAAUUCUUGGAUUUAUUGAAGACUAACUACUGCGAAAGCAUUUGCCAAGGAUGUUUUCAUUAAUCAAGAACGAAAGUUAGGGGAUCGAAGACGAUCAGAUACCGUCGUAGUCUUAACCAUAAACUAUGCCGACUAGGAAUCAGACGAUGUUAAUUUUUUAAUGACUCGUUUGGCACCUUACG
rnacentral:rRNA from 1 species